AACGCACAUUGCGCCCUUUGGUAUUCCGAAGGGCAUGCCUGUUCGAGCGUCAUUAUCACCCCUCAAGCCCCCGGGCUUGGUGUUGGACGGUUUGGUGGAAGGCCUCCGGGCGAUCACCCCUCCUAAAGACAAUGACGGCGGCCUGUUGGAACCCCCGGUACAUUGAGCUUCUUAACUGAGCACGUAUCGGAUCAAGGGAACCCAGGCCCCGGUCUUCUCCCUUCAUUGGGAAAAUUUAUCAAGGUUGACCUCGGAUCAGGUAGGAAUACCCGCUGAACUUAA
rnacentral:misc_RNA from 2 species